ensembl:lncRNA
ACAGUAUCAAACACAGAGUGGCAGAUUAGUAGCAAACAUAUCCAAAUGAGGGACAAAUGGGAAUAUCCAAAUAAACAGGCAAAAGGCUGGGUCACGUGAAACCUGGAGCCUAUCCCAGGGAGCAUCGGGUACAAGGCGGGGUACACCCUGGACAGGGCGCCAGUCCAUCGCAGGGCACAAACACAUACACACUCACACACCCAUUCAUACACUACGGACACUUUAGACAUGCCAAUCAGCCUACCAUGCAUGUCUUUGGACUGGGAGAGGAAACGAGAGUACCCGGAGGAAACCCCCGCAGCACGGGGAGAACAUGCAAACUCCGCACACACAU